AACGAACGCUGACGGCAGGCUUAACACAUGCAAGUCGAGCGCCCCGCAAGGGGAGCGGCAGACGGGUGAGUAACGCGUGGGAAUCUACCCAUCACUACGGAACAACUCCGGGAAACUGGAGCUAAUACCGUAUACGUCCUUCGGGAGAAAGAUUUAUCGGUGAUGGAUGAGCCCGCGUUGGAUUAGCUAGUUGGUGGGGUAAUGGCCUACCAAGGCGACGAUCCAUAGCUGGUCUGAGAGGAUGAUCAGCCACACUGGGACUGAGACACGGCCCAGACUCCUACGGGAGGCAGCAGUGGGGAAUAUUGGACAAUGGGCGAAAGCCUGAUCCAGCCAUGCCGCGUGAGUGAUGACGGCCCUAGGGUUGUAAAGCUCUUUCGCAGGUGAAGAUAAUGACGGUAACCUGAGAAGAAGCCCCGGCUAACUUCGUGCCAGCCGCCGCAGUAAGAC
rnacentral:rRNA from 1 species